UUUAGCUGUCAGAUUUCUACACACGAUGUAAAGAGGCUCCUUUUUUAUUUAUUUUAAGCAUAUUUUAAACAGCCUUUUCUACUACAAGCUCUAGUUUUAUAUUUGGGGUUCAAGUUUAUCACUAAGGUCUAGUAUUUAAUAUGGUGUGAUUUCAGGAGCUAUACUAUAUGAGGUUAUAACUUUUGUUUUGUUUUUGCUUUGUUUUGCAUUUAUCUCCUUGCCAUGGUCUGAAGAAGACAUAUUGUUGUAAGGUUGAUGACAAAUGAGGUCAUGGCCUGUUUCAGUAUGAAGUGGGGGAAGGGGAAGCUUGCUUUCACCAAGAUCAAUCUGUACACUGUUGUCACAGAGAGUGUCCAGAAAACAUCAAAAGAGACGGGGCAAAUAUUGCAGCGGCCACCGCCUUUUGUUUAAAGUAUGCCCCAGCAGAGCCGUCGCAAGGAGGGUGAGAGGCCCUGUGCAAAGUUGAUGUGCGAGGCCCUCUACAAUUUUGCGUGUGUGUGUGUGUGUGUGGUGGGGGAGGUUGCUGUAGUAAGGCGAAGUUUAUUUAUAUAGCAGAUUUCAUACACAAUGGUAAUUCAAAGUGCUUUACAUAAAAUUAAGUAAAAUAAUCAUGAAGAACAAAACUAAAACAAGCAAUUAUAAAACUUUGGAAAUUAUUUAAAAAUUGACUUGAAUUUUAAACAGUUAGAAAUAGAAAAUGAUAGAAAUAGAAAAUACAGUGAAUACAUAAAAUACAGUGCAAUCAGGUCAGACAUCGCACAGUGCUCAUUCAAUAAAUGCACAGCUAAACAGAUGAGUUUUUAGUCUAGAUUUAAAUGUGACUAGUGUUUUGGCACAUCUGAUCUCUUCUGGAAGCUGAUUCUGGAAGCAAUGUAUUUUGGUCCUAGGUCUUUGAGCGACUUCAAGACGAGUAAAAGUACUUUAAAAUCAAUCUUAAAUGUAACUGGAAGCCGGUGUAAGGACCUGAGGACUGGUGUGAUAUGCUCAGAUUUUCUGGUUCUAGUCAGAAUCCUGGCAGCAGUGUUCUGGAUGAGCUGCAGCUGUGUAAUGGUCUUUUUGGGAAGGCCGGUGUGGAGCCUAUUACAAUAGUCCACCCUGCUGGUGAUGAAGGCAUGAACAAGUUUCUCCAAGUCUUGGCUGGAAACAAAACAUCUAA